rnacentral:rRNA from 1 species
ACAGGGAUUGCCCUAGUAACGGCGAGUGAAGCGGCAACAGCUCAAAUUUGAAAUCUGGCGUCUUCGGCGUCCGAGUUGUAAUUUGCAGAGGGCGCUUUGGCAUUGGCAGCGGUCCAAGUUCCUUGGAACAGGACGUCACAGAGGGUGAGAAUCCCGUACGUGGUCGCUAGCCUUUACCGUGUAAAGCCCCUUCGACGAGUCGAGUUGUUUGGGAAUGCAGCUCUAAAUGGGAGGUAAAUUUCUUCUAAAGCUAAAUACUGGCCAGAGACCGAUAGCGCACAAGUAGAGUGAUCGAAAGAUGAAAAGCACUUUGGAAAGAGAGUUAAAAAGCACGUGAAAUUGUUGAAAGGGAAGCGCUUGCAGCCAGACUUGCCUGUAGUUGCUCAUCCGGGUUUCUACCCGGUGCACUCUUCUACGGGCAGGCCAGCAUCAGUUUGGGCGGUUGGAUAAAGGUCUCUGUCAUGUACCUCCUUUCGGGGAGAACUUAUAGGGGAGACGACAUGCAACCAGCCUGGACUGAGGUCCGCGCAUCUGCUAGGAUGCUGGCGUAAUGGCUGUAAGCGGCCCGUCUUGAAACACGGACCAAGGAGUCUAACAUCUAUGCGAGUGUUUGGGUGUCAAGCCCGAGCGCGUAAUGAAAGUGAACGGAGGUGGGAACCUUUCGGGGUGCACCAUCGACCGAUCCUGAUGUCUUCGGAUGGAUUUGAGUAAGAGCAUAGCUGUUGGGACCCGAAAGAUGGUGAACUAUGCUUGAAUAGGGUGAAGCCAGAGGAAACUCUGGUGGAGGCUCGCAGCGGUUCUGACGUGCAAAUCGAUCGUCAAAUUUGGGCAUAGGGGCGAAAGACUAAUCGAACUAUCUAGUAGCUGGUUCCUGCCGAAGUUUCCCUCAGGAUAGCAGUAACGUUUUCAGUUUUAUGAGGUAAAGCGAAUGAUUAGAGGACUGGGGGAUGAAACAUCCUU